AUCCUUGGUUUACACACAUUUUGAACUUACUGAGAUGUGGUUACAAAAUUUAAGUACAAUAGUUAUUUGAUUUACAAGAAUGACACUAUUUACAUUUGGGACAACAGAUAGGAAUGUUAUCUCUUUACAGUUAGUUUACAAGAAUAUGUUAUAGUCUGUUUUCCAUAAUUUUUUAGUACUUGGGCUCCAUUCAACUCAACCUGCAUAUUUUCUAACCGAGCAACUCAAAGAGUUUUUAAGAUUACUUUGAUAAGAGAUGAAUGCUCCUGAGAAGCCUGGUUUUUAAUGUGUUGGAGUAUCAAAUGUCUGUCUAUUGAUAUCUCUCAGAUCCUAGUUGUUGUUGGGGUGUCUCUACGUGAGGUAGUUAGCUUAUACAAAGGUAGAAGAGUAAUCGCAUCCAAGGGAGAUGAAGGGACAAACUGGAAAGUCUAUCAGUUGGUUCUUUACUACUGCGGUGUAUUAGUGGGAUAGUGGGUGGACUGAUUGGUUUAGGUGGAGGCUUUAUUACGGGUCCUCUUUUCUUGGAGCUGGGAAUGCCUCCUCAGGUGCACACAUCAUCCUCCAGAUUUCACUACAUUAUAUUGCUCAUGUUAAUUGCUUUUUCCUUCAAACUAGUCAUCUUUUAGCUCUGAAUCUUCCCCCUCGGACCUGCAAUACAUUUUAUUCAUGUUAUAGCUUUGCUGUUUUCAAAAGUCAAAUCAGUAUUUUUCAUUCAUUCUUUGUCCUGAAAGGUUGCCUCAUUGAGAUCAUAGUUCUAAAACUCACUGAUUCAACUUGAAACCAAUAGCCCAUGUUAUGAGGGGGAAAAACCAAUGGCCCAUGUUCUAUAUAUGUGUGUGGCCCGUUGGACGAAUGGUAAGAAAUAGUGAUCAAUGGCUAAUAUUGUAUUUACACAUGUGGCCUAUCUUAUGGAUGGAUGAUUGAUUUUGGUCUAGGGUAUGCUUAUUGUGCGUCCUACCUAACGAAUGGCCCAGAUCUCACACACGUGCAACAAAGUCACCCUGUCCAUCAGCAUGUGAGUGAGUGCACUGAGCAUUCAGUGGUGUUGGAAUAAGAGUGAGCAGAAGUAUCAAUGUACCUAUUUCUCUAUGGCCACGUUUGGAUAUACAAUCAAAGUUGAAUGAUGAAGGUCGAAAAAGGUGAGUAUGGAACUAGAAAUUUUAAAAUAACUAUCAAACAAGUGCUUGGAGUACCAUGGUUCAAACCAUCACAAUGUAGAUAGGAUAUGGGCAUUGCAGAUACAAUGUGAUGUUAUAACUUUACACAGUUCAAUGAAUGACAUUUAAUUGUUAUUACAUUUUUUCAGAAAAUCAUUGUGGUAUUUUAUAGUUAUUUGCUACAAAAUCACCUGGAAAAAGAAUCUUAUAAUUUUAGUACAGAAACUUGCGCCAAGUAUUCCUUGCAUAUAUCUUUCUCCAUGGUGCUCCUACUUUGAAAUUAGUAGUGAGUCUAAUUUCACAAUGCAAAUUCUAUUUGUAGUUCCAAUGUUUGCAGGCAUGUCAGCAAAACCAAGGAUUAUAUUGAGGAUGGUUAUCUGAAUCUAUGCUCAGCACCAAAUUCUCUGUAUGAAGUAUGCUUUUCUAGGACCAAGGCUUCAUGACACCCACAACCAAUCAGCUAAAGUUCAUUAUUUUUUUAACAUAUGUUGCAUCUUUUAGCAAUUGACUGCAUCUUUUAGCAGUUUUAUUUUUCUGUUUAGGAACCUCACGGAUUGCGUGGUAGUCUAUUUGUCAAGGGCAAUUCUUCCAAACUGGUUAGGUGUCAGUUUGUUAUACUUUUCCCUGGUGUUCUUUCCAGAUCAGUUUAAAAGGUUGUUGCAGCUUCAUCUUCCCAUGAAUCAAUACAUUUUUUCUUUUUCUUUUUGAUGGGCAAUAACAACAUGGAUGGGGAAUAGAUCAAGUUCUGCAUAUCAUCACAAGGGGAAAAUGAACAUAUCAUUUUAGACUUUUAGUUGAUGCAUUAUCUAGGCUCCUUGAUACAAUGAGGGAAUUAGGUCCACGGAGAAUCAUCACGGGCUGUGGCUGGUAAAGGUCAUGAAACUCAUCAACUAGAAGGCAGCAACAAGGAGUUAUUCGAUGAUAGGGAAGAGUGCCGAGAAGCGUUGCAAUAUGUUGAUGAGCUUCAUCAAGCUAGGAUAGACACAAGCGAAUUUCCAUGGCGGUUUGAAGAGCAAGAGGCUCCUGGUUCAAGGGCAUUCUUUACAGAGAUUAUUGCCUUAAUAUCGGAUAUUAAUUUUUCGAAGGAUGGCCCAUUGUAAAUUAAUUGUUGUAAAUAUAUAUAAAUUUUAUUAUAAAGUUGUACUAUAUUUUGUUAAUAUUAAUUUUUAAUUGUACUUAAUAUUCUUUGGGUUUUAAAUAUAAAAAAAAAUGUAUAGCUUUUAUUGGCCAUUUCUAAAUA